rnacentral:tRNA from 1 species
GGAGAGGUGGCCGAGUGGUUUAAGGCGCACGCUUGGAAAGCGUGUGUGGGGAAACUCACCGCGAGUUCGAAUCUCGCCCUCUCCG